rnacentral:rRNA from 1 species
UACAGAGGGUGCAAGCGUUAAUCGGAAUUACUGGGCGUAAAGCGUGCGUAGACGGUUAGAUAAGUCGGAUGUGAAAGCCCCGGGCUCAACCUGGGAAUGGCAUUGGAUACUGGCGAUCUAGAGUGCGGUAGAGGGCAGUGGAAUUCCCGGUGUAGCAGUGAAAUGCGUAGAGAUCGGGAGGAACAUCUGUGGCGAAGGCGACUGCCUGGACCAGCACUGACACUGAGGCACGAAAGCGUGGGGAGCAAACAGG